rnacentral:misc_RNA from 1 species
GAUGAAGAACGUAGCGAAAUGCGAUAAGUAAUGUGAAUUGCAGAAUUCAGUGAAUCAUCGAAUCUUUGAACGCACAUUGCGCCCAUUAGUAUUCUAGUGGGCAUGCCUGUUCGAGCGUCAUUUCAACCCUUAAGCCUAGCUUAGUAUUGGGAAUCGACUUUACUGUCGUUCCUCAAAUUCAACGGCGGAUUUAUAGCAAUCUCUGAACGUAGUAAUUUUUUUUCUCGUUUUUGAAAUACUAUAAACCUCAGCCGCUAAACCCCCAAUUUCUUAUGGUUGACCUCGGAUCAGGUAGGAAUACCCGCUGAACUUAAGCAUAUCAUAAGCGGAGGA